rnacentral:rRNA from 1 species
UACAGAGGAGCCAAGCGUUGUCCGGAUUGACUGGGCGUAAAGCGCACGCAGGCGGACGCGCGCGUGGGGUGUGAAAUCUGGCCGCUUAACGGCCAGGCGCCAUCCCAUACGGCGGGUCUGGAGUGAUGCAGAGGUCGAUGGAAUUGCCGGUGUAGUGGUGAAAUGCGUAGAGAUCGGCAGGAACACCCAGGGGGAAACCAGUCGACUGGGCAUCUACUGACGCUGAGGUGCGAGAGCGUGGGGAGCAAACCGG